CCCUCACAAAUCCGAUCAAUUUAUUCUCAUGCAGUUUAUUACAAAUGAUUAGAACUGUCAAAGCUUAAUGCAGCUGAAGAAAUAACAUCCGUCCAGCUGUGCUGGGCUGUCAAUACUGCAAACGUUUUGUUUGAAUACUCAAUAACGUAUAGUUAAUUUACAGUACAGUAUAAUAAGGUUUAAAGUAUAAUUCACUUGAAGAACAAUACCGACGUAAUUAUACAGAACAGUCAUUUUGCCUGUUGAUUUAACAGAAAUAUGCUUUACAUGUCAUUUUGUUCUAGGCAGCAGGGAGCAUACAGAGGAGUUGAUAAAACUCCGUGGGAAAAAUAACCACCUCUUUACUGGGGCCAAGAACACUGCCGCAGUCGGAUGGAGAACAAUCCUGCAAAAAACGGGGCUGGAGGGUGAAGUUGAGCCACAACAGGCCAAAAAAAAGUGGGACAACUUGAAAAAAAAUACAAAGAAUGCAAAGAUCCAGUGACAGGGCAGGGGGUCAGUGGGAAGCCUACUGCUGCCACCUGGCCAUGGUUUGUCCUCAGGUUCUGUGUUGCUGUUAUUGUUAAAUUAAAUUAUUAAAUUGUUUAUAAAAGUUA